rnacentral:rRNA from 1 species
AUUGAACGCUGGCGGCAUGCCUUACACAUGCAAGUCGAACGGCAGCACGGGAGCAAUCCUGGUGGCGAGUGGCGAACGGGUGAGUAAUAUAUCGGAACGUGCCCAGUCGUGGGGGAUAACGUAGCGAAAGCUACGCUAAUACCGCAUACGAUCUAUGGAUGAAAGCGGGGGAUCGCAAGACCUCGCGCGAUUGGAGCGGCCGAUAUCAGAUUAGCUAGUUGGUGGGGUAAAGGCCCACCAAGGCGACGAUCUGUAGCUGGUCUGAGAGGACGACCAGCCACACUGGGACUGAGACACGGCCCAGGCUCCUACGGGAGGCAGCAGUGGGGAAUUUUGGACAAUGGGCGCAAGCCUGAUCCAGCAAUGCCGCGUGCAGGACGAAGGCCUUCGGGUUGUAAACUGCUUUUGUACGGAACGAAACGGCCCCUUCUAAUACAGGGGGCUAAUGACGGUACCGUAAGAAUAAGCACCGGCUAACUACGUGCCAGCAGCCGCGGUAA